UUAAGAGAAUAAGAAACAAUAGUGUUGUUGUUCUUUAUUCUAUUUUUAUAAAACUAAUGAUCAGAAUAAAAGGGAAUAAAAGGAGACAAACUGGUUACAACUUUUUAAUUCAAAAAUUAAACACAUCAUAUAUGCCUUAUGGAAUGGA
rnacentral:ribozyme from 1 species